rnacentral:rRNA from 1 species
AUUGAACGCUGGCGGAAUGCUUUACACAUGCAAGUCGAACGGCAGCACGGGGGCAACCCUGGUGGCGAGUGGCGAACGGGUGAGUAAUACAUCGGAACGUGCCCAGUCGUGGGGGAUAACGUAGCGAAAGUUACGCUAAUACCGCAUACGAUCUACGGAUGAAAGCGGGGGACCGUAAGGCCUCGCGCGAUUGGAGCGGCCGAUGUCAGAUUAGGUAGUUGGUGAGGUAAAGGCUCACCAAGCCGACGAUCUGUAGCUGGUCUGCGAGGACGAACGGCCACGCUGGGACUGAGACACGGCCCAGACUCCGACGGGAGGCAGCAGUGGGGAAUUUUGGACAAUGGGCGCAAGCCUGAUCCAGCCAUUCCGCGUGCAGGACGAAGGCCUUCGGGUUGUAAACUGCUUUUGUACGGAACGAAAAGGCUCUGGUUAAUACCUGGGGCUCGUGACGGUACCGUAAGAAUAAGCACCGGCUAACUACGUGCCAGCAGCCGCGGUAA